GACGAACGCUGGCGGCGUGCCUAAUACAUGCAAGUCGAACGCAGUGGGGACGGGUGAGUAACACGUGGGUAACCUCCCAUCAGAGGGGAUAACACGUGGAAACAGGUGCUAAACCGAUACUGAUGGAUGGACCCGCGGUUGUUUAGCUAGUUGGUGAGGUAACGGCUCACCAAGGCAACGAUGCAAAGCCGACCUGAGUGGGGGAUCGUCCACACUGGGACUAGGAGACGGCCGAGACUCUAACGGGAGGCAGCAGUAGGGAAUCUUCGGCAAUGGACGAAAGUCUGACCGAGCAACGCCGCGUGAGUGAAGAAGGUUUUCGGAUCGUAAAACUCUGUUGUUAGAGAAGCGGUAUCUAACCAGAAAGCCACGGCUAACUACGUGCCAGCAGCCGCGGUAAUUC
rnacentral:rRNA from 1 species